GACGAACGCUGGCGGCGCGCUUAACACAUGCAAGUCGAACGGAAAGGCCUGCUUUCCCUUGUGGAUUGCGGGUACUCGAGUGGCGAACGGGUGAGUAACACGUGAGUGAUCUGCCCCCAACUUGGGUAUAAGCCUGGGAAACUGGGUCUAAUUCCCGAUAGGACUGCAGGGUGGUGCCUGUGGUGGAAAACGAUUUUCUAGUGGUUGGGGAUGAGCUCGCGGCCUAUCAGCUUGUUGGUGGGGUAAUGGCCUACCAAGGCGGCGACGGGUAGCCGGCCUGAGAGGGUGGACGGCCACAUUUGGACUGAGAUACGGCCCAGACUCCUACGGGAGGCAGCAGUGGGGAAUAUUGCACAAUGGGCGGAAGCCUGAUGCAGCGACGCCGCGUGGGGGAUGACGGCCUUCGGGUUGUAACCUCCUUUCGACCGCGAGGAAGCCACCUGGUUGGAAGGGUGGUGACGGUAGUGGUAGAAGAAGCACCGGCUAACUACGUG
rnacentral:rRNA from 1 species